rnacentral:rRNA from 1 species
CAGCAGCCGCGGGAAUACGUAGGUGGCAAGCGUUGUCCGGAAUUAUUGGGCGUAAAGGGCUCGCAGGCGGUUUCUUAAGUCUGAUGUGAAAGCCCCCGGCUCAACCGGGGGGGGUCAUUGGAAACUGGGAAACUUGAGUGCAGAAGAGGAGAGUGGAAUUCCACGUGUAGCGGUGAAAUGCGUAGAGAUGUGGAGGAACACCAGUGGCGAAGGCGACUCUCUGGUCUGUAACUGACGCUGAGGAGCGAAAGCGUGGGGAGCGAACAGGAUUAGAUACCCGCGUAGUCCCUGUCUCUUAUAC